GAUGAACGCUGGCGGCGUGCCUAAUACAUGCAAGUCGAGCGAACAGACGAGGAGCUUGCUCCUCUGACGUUAGCGGCGGACGGGUGAGUAACACGUGGAUAACCUACCUAUAAGACUGGGAUAACUUCGGGAAACCGGAGCUAAUACCGGAUAAUAUAUUGAACCGCAUGGUUCAAUAGUGAAAGACGGUUUUGCUGUCACUUAUAGAUGGAUCCGCGCCGCAUUAGCUAGUUGGUAAGGUAACAGCUUACCAAGGCAACGAUGCGUAGCCGACCUGAGAGGGUGAUCGGCCACACUGGAACUGAGACACGGUCCAGACUCCUACGGGAGGCAGCAGUAGGGAAUCUGCCGCAAUGGGCGAAAGCCUGACGGAGCAACGCCGCGUGAGUGAUGAAGGUCUUCGGAUCGUAAAACUCUGUUAUUAGGGAAGAACAAAUGUGUAAGUAACUAUGCACGUCUUGACGGUACCUAAUCAGAAAGCCACGGCUAACUACGU
rnacentral:rRNA from 1 species